rnacentral:rRNA from 1 species
AGUAACGGCGAGUGAAGCGGCAAGAGCUCAAAUUUGAAAUCUGACCUUCUGGUCCGAAUUGUAAUUUGUAGAGGAUGCUUCGAACGUGGUCUGGUCUAAGUUCCUUGGAACAGGACGUCAGAGAGGGUGAGAAUCCCGUAUGUGACUAGGUGCCUAAGUUCAUGUGAAGCUCCUUCGACGAGUCGAGUUGUUUGGGA